UUUUAUCAUCAUUUAGGUCUUUAUAGAUGGGAAGAAAAAUAACCGCUUUCCCUAAAACUACACCUUUAUUCAAAACAUGUAUGUGAAGAUAUUCCUUAUGACAUUACAAUGUUAAAUUCAUCAAAAUAGAAUGAACCAUCAAACUGAAUGACUCGGCUGGUCCAUGGAUAAGAGUACAAAUAUCAUCGCAACUCCCUCACAUUCUUUUCUCAAGCGCAGUUGCACAGGUGAGGCAAGGCAAAAAUAUUUGUGGUGUGGAUGUGCAAUACUUAGAGGUUUCCAACAUUUCGCUAAAUCGCCGCUUUUGAAAUGUUUCGAUGGGCACCAUGUCUUUGAUUCUUUUCAAAUGCUUCUGCUCAAGUGAUGUGUUUCUUCCUUUUGAAUUAAGCUCGCUCAAUUUUAAAA